GUAAGGAAUAUUGGUCAAUGGAGGCAACUCUGAACCAGCCAUGCCGCGUGCAGGAAGACGGCCCUCUGGGUUGUAAACUGCUUUUAUCCGGGAAUAAACCUGCCUUCGUGAAGGUAGCUGAAUGUACCGGAAGAAUAAGGAUCGGCUAACUCCGUGCCAGCAGCCGCGGUAAUACGGAGGAUCCAAGCGUUAUCCGGAUUUAUUGGGUUUAAAGGGUGCGUAGGCGGCCUGUUAAGUCAGGGGUGAAAGACGGUGGCUCAACCAUCGCAGUGCCCUUGAUACUGAUGGGCUUGAAUGGACUAGAGGUAGGCGGAAUGUGACAAGUAGCGGUGAAAUGCAUAGAUAUGUCACAGAACACCAAUUGCGAAGGCAGCUCACUAAGGCGAUACUGACGCUGAGGCACGAAAGCGUGGGGAUCGAACAGGAUUAGAUACCCUUGUAGUCC
rnacentral:rRNA from 1 species